AAAUAUCCCGACUCCGGCACAUGCCUAUCCCUCACCGGCACCCACCCUCCUCUUCUCUAACCCUAGCCAUUUUUCCACCACCGCCACCCACCCCUCGUCUCCUCCCCCCUUUCUCCCCACCGCCGCCACCGCAACUCCCUUCUCUCUUUCCUUCAAUCGCGUCAGAUCCCGACCCUCCCAUCUCUCUCCGAUUCCGCAAAGAUCCGGGUGACCCAUAGCUAGAUACCCACCUUAUAAUAUGCCGACAUGGCUAGCCUCGGCGGCGGAGCGUGGCCGGGGAUGGACCAGGUCACGUCGCCGGAAGAUCUAGCCACCUGGUCGGCGGAUCUUGUCACAGGCCAGAUCUGUCUGCGUCCGAUCUGGAGAUCAAGGCGACGGAGAACUUCGUCGUCGAUGAUUUCGAGCUAGCGGUCGAGCUCUACGUCGACUGCAGCAUCGCCAUCUUCGCCGACUUCGCGUGCAACAUAUCUAAGGCGAUGUGACCAGUUGACGGCGGAUCUGAUCAUGGGGUUGCCGGACCACGACUUCACACAACCAUCUCGACAUGACCAACUUCCCUGUGUUGUAGCCAGUUCCUUUUAGCGGGUCUCUGCAUCUGUAAAGAAGAGGAAGGGGUACAAUCAGGUACCAUGAGCUGGAGGGCAAGGGAGAAGGUUGCUGGCAACGAGGGUUAGAUUUUGUGAUUUCUCGUGAUGCUCUCAGUCUAGUGUGUCAUCUGGAAGAAUGAGAUGUGAAGGAGACAUGGUGCUUACCUGUGUGCUGGAGCGCAUCAACGACAGCCACGGCACAGCGUUUGCAGUGUUGAGUUCUCUGCAGUAGUCAUUCCUUCUAUGGAGUAACACCAUGUAUUUAGUGUGUUCUGGAGCGCACAAACCCCAGUCAUCGCACCGGAUUCUUAGUGUCGAGCUCACCACGCUCCAACUGAAGCAACCUUGUCUUCUCCAUAUUUGGAUGGAUGGAUGAGAUCCUGAUGAUGCAGCAGCAAGAAGGGGACCUGUAGGUUGGAAGAGUUCGUCCAGGUGGACGGACAUUAUUUUGUUCUUCAUGCUUCGGCUGAUCAUUGAUGUUGCCUGCUGUAGGGAUAUGGUCCUGUGGCGGGUUUAUACAUUUUGCGCUAGAUUCAGUUGUAGCCUUCUGCUUUUUUGUAUACACGUGCUUUGUGGAAAUCUAUUGUAACAGACUUAUUUAUGGAUCUUAUCAAAAGAGUUUCAUGUAUUCAUCA